rnacentral:rRNA from 1 species
GACGAGCGCUGGCGGCGUGCUUAACACAUGCAAGUCGAACGGUAAGGCCCUUCGGGGUACACGAGUGGCGAACGGGUGAGUAACACGUGGGUGAUCUGCCCUGCACUUCGGGAUAAGCCUGGGAAACUGGGUCUAAUACCGGAUAGGGCCACUGCCUGCAUGGGUGGUGGUGGAGAGCUUUUGCGGUGUGGGAUGGGCCCGCGGCCUAUCAGCUUGUUGGUGGGGUGAUGGCCUACCAAGGCGACGACGGGUAGCCGGCCUGAGAGGGUGACCGGCCACACUGGGACUGAGAUACGGCCCAGACUCCUACGGGAGGCAGCAGUGGGGAAUAUUGCACAAUGGGCGCAAGCCUGAUGCAGCGACGCCGCGUGAGGGAUGACGGCCUUCGGGUUGUAAACCUCUUUCAGCACCGACGAAGCGAAAGUGACGGUAGGUGCAGAAGAAGGACCGGCCAACUACGUGCCAGCCGCCGCGGUAA